rnacentral:rRNA from 1 species
GAUGAACGCUGGCGGCGUGCCUAACACAUGCAAGUCGAGCGUGAACCCCUGCGAAUGAAACUUCGGUCGAUUUUGCAGGGGGAAAGCGGCGGACGGGUGAGUAACGCGUAGGUAACCUGCCCCAUACUGAGGGAUAGCCUCGGGAAACCGGGAUUAAUACCUCAUAACACCGUAUAUUCGCAUGGAUGUGCGGUCAAAGAUUUAUCGGUAUGGGAUGGGCCUGCGUCUGAUUAGCUGGUUGGUGGGGUAACGGCCUACCAAGGCGACGAUCAGUAGCCGACCUGAGAGGGUGAUCGGCCACAUUGGAACUGAGACACGGUCCAAACUCCUACGGGAGGCAGCAGUGGGGAAUAUUGCACAAUGGCGAAAGCCUGAUGCAGCAACGCCGCGUGAGCGAAGAAGGCCUUUGGGUCGUAAAGCUCUGUCGGGUAGGAAGAUAAUGACGGUACUACCCGAGGAAGCCCCGGCUAACUACGUGCCAGCAGCCGCGGUAAGGAGUAGUACACU